UUUGAUUUACUGACAAUUUGUACGUGCAUUUUGAAGGAAUAACCGUUUGGAAGGCAAAGAACAGCUCUACCGGAAGCAGCUCAACAACAGAGAGCCAGCCAAGUAAACCAGUGGCUGACAUGCAUCCUUCUGAAGGUCCUGGAAAGAGCUUUAGAAACUUUCGGUUCGAUACUGCUUCAAUAGUUCGUGCAAUGGAUGCUGCCUUCUGUGGAUAAAGUUCUCGUUGGUAGAUGUAAUGGCUGUAUGUUGUGUUCAGCCGUUCGGGAAUCAAGUACAUUCUGUACAGCAAACUAUGGGUGGAUGGUUCAGAUAUUUCCUUUGAUGUGCAGUUUAUCAGUUAGGAAAUUGAAUAGUUCAGACUUUUCAUGAAGCAAGCUUGUUAUUCAGAUAGAUCAUGCUCAAUAUAUAUGUAUAUUUUAUCCCCUUAAAUCCUUCUUGAGACUUGAGAGCAGUUACUGGUAACUUGAGGCUGAAUAUUUUAAGUAUUGAAGUUUUAUUUUGUUGUUUCA